GGUUAAGCGACUAAGCGUACACGGUGGAUGCCCUGGCAGUCAGAGGCGAUGAAGGACGUGCUAAUCUGCGAUAAGCGUCGGUGAGGUGAUAUGAACCGUUAUAACCGGCGAUUUCCGAAUGGGGAAACCCAGUGUGUUUCGACACACUAUCAUUAACUGAAUCCAUAGGUUAAUGAGGCGAACCGGGGGAACUGAAACAUCUAAGUACCCCGAGGAAAAGAAAUCAACCGAGAUUCCCCCAGUAGCGGCGAGCGAACGGGGAGGAGCCCAGAGCCUGAAUCAGUGUGUGUGUUAGUGGAAGCGUCUGGAAAGGCGCGCGAUACAGGGUGACAGCCCCGUACACAAAAAUGCACAUGCUGUGAGCUCGAUGAGUAGGGCGGGACACGUGGUAUCCUGUCUGAAUAUGGGGGGACCAUCCUCCAAGGCUAAAUACUCCUGACUGACCGAUAGUGAACCAGUACCGUGAGGGAAAGGCGAAAAGAACCCCGGCGAGGGGAGUGAAAAAGAACCUGAAACCGUGUACGUACAAGCAGUGGGAGCCUCUUAAUGGGGUGACUGCGUACCUUUUGUAUAAUGGGUCAGCGACUUAUAUUCUGUAGCAAGGUUAACCGAAUAGGGGAGCCGAAGGGAAACCGAGUCUUAACUGGGCGCUAAGUUGCAGGGUAUAGACCCGAAACCCGGUGAUCUAGCCAUGGGCAGGUUGAAGGUUGGGUAACACUAACUGGAGGACCGAACCGACUAAUGUUGAAAAAUUAGCGGAUGACUUGUGGCUGGGGGUGAAAGGCCAAUCAAACCGGGAGAUAGCUGGUUCUCCCCGAAAGCUAUUUAGGUAGCGCCUCGUGAAUUCAUCUCCGGGGGUAGAGCACUGUUUCGGCAAGGGGGUCAUCCCGACUUACCAACCCGAUGCAAACUGCGAAUACCGGAGAAUGUUAUCACGGGAGACACACGGCGGGUGCUAACGUCCGUCGUGAAGAGGGAAACAACCCAGACCGCCAGCUAAGGUCCCAAAGUCAUGGUUAAGUGGGAAACGAUGUGGGAAGGCCCAGACAGCCAGGAUGUUGGCUUAGAAGCAGCCAUCAUUUAAAGAAAGCGUAAUAGCUCACUGGUCGAGUCGGCCUGCGCGGAAGAUGUAACGGGGCUAAACCAUGCACCGAAGCUGCGGCAGCGACACUAUGUGUUGUUGGGUAGGGGAGCGUUCUGUAAGCCUGUGAAGGUGGCCUGUGAGGGUUGCUGGAGGUAUCAGAAGUGCGAAUGCUGACAUAAGUAACGAUAAAGCGGGUGAAAAGCCCGCUCGCCGGAAGACCAAGGGUUCCU
rnacentral:rRNA from 1 species